rnacentral:rRNA from 1 species
UCGAGAAUCUUCGGCAAUGGGCGCAAGCCUGACCGAGCGACGCCGCGUGGAGGACGAAGGCCUUCGGGUUGUAAACUCCUGUCGAGGGGGAAGAAGGGUCGCAAGACCUUGACUGAUCCCUGGAGGAAGCACGGGCUAAGUUCGUGCCAGCAGCCGCGGUAAGACGAACCGUGCGAACGUUAUUCGGAAUCACUGGGCUUAAAGCGCGUGUAGGCGGAUGAGCACGUCUGUCGCUGAAAUCCCCCGGCUCAACCGGGGAACGGGCGCGGAUACGACGAGCCUGGAGGGGCAUAGGGGGACCUGGAACUUCCGGUGGAGCGGUGAAAUGCGUUGAGAUCGGAAGGAACGCCCGUGGCGAAAGCGAGGUCCUGGAUGCCUACUGACGCUGAGACGCGAAAGCCAGGGGAGCGAACG